rnacentral:rRNA from 1 species
UAGGGAAUUUUGCGCAAUGGGGGAAACCCUGACGCAGCAACGCCGCGUGAAUGAUGAAGCCCUUCGGGGUGAAAAGUUCUGUCAAUGGGGACGAAACUUGACGGUACCCAUAGAGGAAGCACCGGCUAACUCCGUGCCAGCAGCCGCGGUAAUACGGAGGGUGCGAGCGUUGUCCGGAAUCAUUGGGCGUAAAGAGUUCGUAGGUGGUACGUUAAGUCAGGUGUUAAAGGCAGAGGCUCAACUUCUGUAAGGCACUUGAUACUGGCGAACUAGAAUGCGGUAGAGGUAAAGGGAAUUCCUGGUGUAGCGGUGAAAUGCGUAGAUAUCAGGAGGAACAUCGGUGGCGUAAGCGCUUUACUGGGCCGUAAUUGACACUGAGGAACGAAAGCCGGGGUAGCAAAUGGG